ACUGAAUGGAGGACCGAACCGACUUACGUUGAAAAGUGAGCGGAUGAACUGAGGGUAGCGGAGAAAUUCCAAUCGAACCUGGAGAUAGCUGGUUCUCUCCGAAAUAGCUUUAGGGCUAGCCUCAAGUGAUGAUUAUUGGAGGUAGAGCACUGUUUGGACGAGGGGCCCCUCUCGGGUUACCGAAUUCAGACAAACUCCGAAUGCCAAUUAAUUUAACUUGGGAGUCAGAACAUGGGUGAUAAGGUCCGUGUUCGAAAGGGAAACAGCCCAGACCACCAGCUAAGGUCCCAAAAUAUAUGUUAAGUGGAAAAGGAUGUGGCGUUGCCCAGACAACUAGGAUGUUGGCUUAGAAGCAGCCAUCAUUUAAAGAGUGCGUAAUAGCUCACUAGUCGAGUGACACUGCGCCGAAAAUGUACCGGGGCUAAACAUAUUACCGAAGCUGUGGAUUGUCCUUUGGACAAUGGUAGGAGAGCGUUCUAAGGGCGUUGAAGCAUGAUCGUAAGGACAUGUGGAGCGCUUAGAAGUGAGAAUGCCGGUGUGAGUAGCGAAAGACGGGUGAGAAUCCCGUCCACCGAUUGACUAAGGUUUCCAGAGGAAGGCUCGUCCGCUCUGGGUUAGUCGGGUCCUAAGCUGAGGCCGACAGGCGUAGGCGAUGGAUAACAGGUUGAUAUUCCUGUACCACCUAUAAUCGUUUUAAUCGAUGGGGGGACGCAGUAGGAUAGGCGAAGCGUGCGAUUGGAUUGCACGUCUAAGCAGUAAGGCUGAGUAUUAGGCAAAUCCGGUACUCGUUAAGGCUGAGCUGUGAUGGGGAGAAGACAUUGUGUCUUCGAGUCGUUGAUUUCACACUGCCGAGAAAAGCCUCUAGAUAGAAAAUAGGUGCCCGUACCGCAAACCGACACAGGUAGUCAAGAUGAGAAUUCUAAGGUGAGCGAGCGAACUCUCGUUAAGGAACUCGGCAAAAUGACCCCGUAACUUCGGGAGAAGGGGUGCUCUUUAGGGUUAACGCCCAGAAGAGCCGCAGUGAAUAGGCCCAAGCGACUGUUUAUCAAAAACACAGGUCUCUGCUAAACCGUAAGGUGAUGUAUAGGGGCUGACGCCUGCCCGGUGCUGGAAGGUUAAGAGGAGUGGUUAGCUUCUGCGAAGCUACGAAUCGAAGCCCCAGUAAACGGCGGCCGUAACUAUAACGGUCCUAAGGUAGCGAAAUUCCUUGUCGGGUAAGUUCCGACCCGCACGAAAGGCGUAACGAUUUGGGCACUGUCUCAACGAGAGACUCGGUGAAAUCAUAGUACCUGUGAAGAUGCAGGUUACCCGCGACAGGACGGAAAGACCCCGUGGAGCUUUACUGUAGCCUGAUAUUGAAAUUCGGCACAGCUUGUACAGGAUAGGUAGGAGCCUUUGAAACGUGAGCGCUAGCUUACGUGGAGGCGCUGGUGGG
rnacentral:rRNA from 1 species